rnacentral:rRNA from 1 species
AGCAGUAGCCGCGGUAAUACGAAGGGUGCAAGCGUUAAUCGGAAUUACUGGGCGUAAAGCGUGCGUAGGCGGUUUGUUAAGUCUGCUGUGAAAUCCCCGGGCUCAACCUGGGAAUGGCAGUGGAUACUGGCAAGCUAGAGUGUGUCAGAGGAUGGUGGAAUUCCCGGUGUAGCGGUGAAAUGCGUAGAGAUCGGGAGGAACAUCAGUGGCGAAGGCGGCUCACUGGCUCAUACUGGACGCUGAGGUGCGAAAGCGUGGGGAGCAAACAGGAUUAGAUACCCCCGUAGUCCCUGUCUCUUAUAC